AUAAAAGAAAAAAAUCCAUGCGUCUUUCCUUUGGCCCCGAGCAGCCGCGCCGCCGGAACUUGCGAACCCCGCCGCCACCUCGACUCUUCCGUGUCCGGUGCGACGCCGGCACAUCCAUCGCAUGCCGGCGAGCUCCCCAUCGAGCAGUAGUUGCCGCGCUGCCGGAACUUGCGAACCCCGCCGCCACCUCGACUCUUCCGCGUCCGGUGCGACGCCGGCGCAUCCGUCGCAUGCCGGCGAGCUCCCCAUCGAGAACUAGCUGACGCGCCGCCCUCCUACUUUGCCUUUUUCCCAUCCUUCCCUGCACUUCUCUCACCUCUCUCUGCCUCGCAUCCACAGGGACCCCGGGACGCCGCCGGCGCGCGGAAAGACGCCGCCCCAACUGGAUCGAUGCCUUGCUCCAUCGCCUGCUCUCCUACCAUCCGUCCUCACCCCGUCGCCACCUCGACUCUUCCGCAUCCGGUGCGACACCGGCGCAUCCCUCGCAUGCCGGGACCCGAGACGCCGCUGGCACGCGGAACGACGACGCCCCAGCUGGAUCGAGGCCCUGCUCCAUCGCAUGCUCUCCCGCCGUCCGUCCUCAUCUCGAAUCGAUCAUGCCGGCAGCCGUCGUUGCCAGAUCCUAGCUUGGCCGCCUGCUGAAAGAUACAGCGCCUUUGCUCCUCUCACCGUCGAGGGAGGUUGGAAUGACGGAGCCGUGCAUGUGUUGGCACCCAUGUGGUGCGUGCUGAGCCACCGCCUUGCGUAGCGGCUAUAGUCCUACGGCGCGCCCUGCCUCGAGCAGCACACAUGGGUGGCGGCUGAGACGUCUGAGGAGCUUCAGCAGGAGGUGGUGAUCCAGUGGCACUCCUUCCAGUACAACACUAACCUAUGCAAAGUGGCCCUUUAUUUCCCCUGCCCAGCUCCAAUCUUUGAUCCGUCCAUGCUUGAGGUAAUGUGUACAGAGAACGAGGCUGCCGAGCCAAAUUUGUUGAAUGAGGCUGUGAAGUUCGAGGUAAUAUUGCUGCUACCUUCGUUUUGUUUUUUGGUGAUGGUCACCUCUGUAUCAACUCAGCAGGUAGUAUCUAUCUGUUAGUGCUAUUUCUGCAAUUUUGUAAGCCAGAUUUGUGCCAAGUGCAUUGCAUAAUAUAUCUCUAAUAGGUCCAUUGCUAUUUCUGAGAUCUUCCAUCAAUGUUUAUUACAACAGAAAAAUGGUCCUUAUCACAUAUAUAGUAUGCACUGGCAACUUAUAUAUACGAUGGUUGAUAACAAUUACUUCAGGGUAUCCAUUCUGCUAUAUUUUAGAUACUCAACAAAAUUUGUGACAUCUAAUCUGGUAGAGAAAAUUUUGCGUACUAUAGACCCAAAGUGGUCGGACCCUUCCCUGGACCCUGCGCAAGCGGGAGCUACAUGCACCAGGUUGCCCUUUUUGCGAAUUCAGUCCAAGAUAUUCUUUUCUUACCUACAGAUAAUUUCGUAUAGAUGACUUAGCAUUCAACAUGAUUUAGUUUCUAGCCUGUAUAGAUUAGUCUUAUUAUGAGCUACCUAUAAUUUUUUUAGGCUUUUAGUUUUAGUUAUGGUGAUGGACUGUGCACAUGAUUCACAGAAUAAAGAACUGCAUCAAGCAUUAAUUUUUACAUGCGUGAAGCAUUUUACAAUAAAUUUCCUAUUAUUCAUCAGCUAGCUGAAUGAACGGAGACUGUACGACAAGGCGAACAAGCACACUAAAUAUCAUGAGUCAUAGUAAUUCCUAGCUAUUUUUACAAAUGCAUUUCACUGGAAGUUUCCUGUUGAUUAUAAUAAUGUUCACCAUAGAUAUCUAAAGUUUGUGGUUCAAUUUAUGAACUGCAUUGGUCUAGAUACUAUUGCUGGAAGUUGACGUUGACACCCAGUAAGAUCCUCCUGGAGCUGCCUUCUCUGAGCAUAUCUCUAAUCAAGCAUCUACUGAUUCACAUCGUAAAUGUUAAAUUUGUGAUAGGCUUACUAUAGACAAAUGUUUCUGAAUCUUAUGGUAUAUCAGAUGUUACAGAGUAAAUUAUCAAUUUACUCUACAUGAUACAUUAAUCUUUUUUGUUUUUGUUUCUAUUCUAUUUAUGGUGGAAAAAUGGUUUCUUCAUCAUUUUGUUGAUGUUAAAUUAAAACAUUUUUGUAUGCCUAUCGAAUAUAUGUUAGUUCAACCGAUAUUCCAAAUUACAUUUUUAUAUUGUGCUGCUUACUAUAGUUUUUUCCUCCAAGGAAACAACACCAAGGCACCCCAUGAGUAUUUGUCAGUUCAACUGAUAUUCCACUUUUGCAUAUUGUAGUACUUCCAUAGUUAUUUCAUCUCAGGAAACAACACCAAGGCAAUAUAUUUUUACCCUAUUUAUAACAGCCUAAUUAUUUCCAACAAUAGAGAUUCAGGCUAUCUUAUUAAAUGUUCCUUUUUGCACCCUGUUGAUCAGCUACAUAAUAUCCUUCUGAUAUAUGACUAAUUUGAAAGAGAAACAAAAAACUUUUCCUAAACUAUGAAAGACAUCAUUAUUCUGAUUAAAAUCCUUCUCAUAGGUGCCGCCAUGGCACCAUCCAUGAGAGUAUUAAGGAUCCCGAGGGAAAGAGUUGCGAUGGGCCGAUGGCGCAUCUAUUCACACCAUGGACAUUCAUUGCCUACUACUCAUGCGACCACUCUGAAGGUAAGGAAGUGUGUAUCUUAAGUUCCAUGCUGCAGUUAGCAUUUAAUCAUAUUAAUAUUAUCUCUGAUAUCCUGGACACAACAUAGAUUUUACAAGCAAAACUUCAUCAAGCUAGAUUUGUUGCAUGUGCACUGGAUGUUGAUGUUAUUGGGCUGGACUAAUUUUGUGUUUUCCCAUCAUGUUGAAAGUUGUCCCUGAUGUGCGUACAUUAUUCGCUAUCAUGGAGACGACAAAUAGCUGAUGUUUGGUAAUAGUUACUUCAUGGUAUGCUGCAUAUUCCUCUAAAUUUGUGAGAUUUGAGAUAGUAGAAACAACACAUCGUGAUCUACUGGCCUUGCCUGAUGCUUCGUUAUCUGAGGACCAUGGAGUAAAAUGGAUCUAAUUUCCAGUCUAUGUAUGAUUAUUAGUCAUUUGAUGCGGAAAGUUUUAGGAUUUCAUUAUAUGUUUAGUACGGUCUUACAGUUUAUGCAUGCGAAUUAACAGAAAUAAAUUGCACGGACUAUUCUUUUUCUCAUAAAUGUGAAGCAUGUACAACUAUUUUUCUAUUGCAAAAAAACAUUCCUUCCCCCAAGCGAGCCAGCACACAAAUAAGAGUGAAUCCAAGCUUUUUUCAGAACUGAGUUAGUUAUGUUAUCCCUACGAAUAUCUUAGGUUUUAAGUGUCAAUCUUCAAAUUCUCUGCUUUAUUAAUUGACUUUUUAUAAAUACUACGAAGACUAAAAUUUAAAGAAUUAAACCAAUAAGUGUAUUUAGUGAAGUCAGAGGUCUGUUUGGAAUAUUCUUAGUGCAAGUCUCUCAUGAAAGGAGGGAUGUCGUUUUUUCAUGGCUGAAUGGUGCUUUAUGAGGCAACAGUCCUAAUAUCAAUCAAAGUUGAAGCCUCUGUCUAAUCUCCUUUUGCUGUAAAAUAUUAUUUUGUAGUAUUCUUAACGUAAUUAAUGUUCACUUCUAUUAUGCUACCCUUUUAUGCACACCAUGUUUCUAAAUGCAAUAGCCCACUACGAAACAGUUAACUAUACAUCAAUUUCUAUCGAAGUUAGAAGGAAGUUCCUGCUAUUUGUAAUUUUAUACACCAUACACGUAUGAAGUUUCUUAUAUCUUAUUUAACUCUUCUAUAGAUGCUGUUCCAAAAGGUUGUAGCUGAUACCCAAAAAGCUCCUCAGUAGAUAUGAUCCUCUCCAGCACAUCACUUGGUGGAUCUAGAGGGGCAACCAUCAGCUUAUGAAAAAGGGAAAAUAAAUUGCCUGCUAUUGUUCCUUACCAAGAGUAAUUUCCCCAGUGCCUAACUUACGAUUUGAUUUGUUGCAUCAUGAUAAGAUCUCCAUGAUGUGCAUAUGCAUGAUUAUUUUUACAUUGAAUUCGUUUUCCUAUAUAUUUUACAUGCAUGCGUUCACAUAUUAGAGGACAAAUAUGUUGCAGGCUCUUAUCUACAUGCAUGAAUGUGAACUCUGUAUCCAAUGGUAAAGCGGGCUUUAUCAGGAAAAAGGAUCAUGGAAUAGCAUGUGACGUGUGUAUUAUUGUUAGCAUCUACCUAUUUUGAUGCAUUGUAUUUGCAAUUUGCAUACAUAUACCAAGUUUUUCGUCAAAUAUAUAUGUUGCAGGAGACUGGAUGAUCGAGUAGCACUCAAGAUGGCAAGGUGGUUGAGAUUUAGGAACCGUUGUAUCUUGAGGACUCAUGAUGCAGUCGUACGUCGAUACAUAUAGAUUUAUGACUAUUGCCAUAUAGUCCAUUGUAUCUAUCUAUCUACCUACCUACCUACCUACCUACCUACCUAUCACCUCUUAACUUCAGCAUAUUUACCUUGAGUAAUUAUGGUUUAAUACAGGUUUUUUCUCUAUUAGUGAUUUAAUUUUUUAUUGGUUUACACCCCCUUGGUUCAAACAUUAUUAUUCUCUAUUU